GACGAACGCUGGCGGCGGGUUUAACACAUGCAAGUCGAGGGACGAAGCACUCUUCGGAGUGUGGUGACCGGCGAACGGGUGAGUAACACGUGAGGAACCUAUCUUGUGCUCUGGGAUAACCGCGGGAAACCGUGGCUAAUACCGGAUGUUCCGGUUCUGUCUCAUGACAGUUCCGGGAAAGCUCUGGCGGCACUUGAGGGUCUCGCGGCCUAUCAGCUUGUUGGUGAGGUAACGGCUCACCAAGGCGACGACGGGUAGCUGGAGUGAGAGCUCGAUCAGCCCCACAGGGACUGGGGAAGGGGCCAGGCUGAUACGUGGGGCAACAGCGGAGACUCGUGCAAAAAAGGCGGAAGCUUGAUGCAGCGACGCCGCGUGGGGGAAGACGGCUUUCGGUUGUAAAACUCUUUCAGGAGGGAAGAAGCGAGAGUGACGGUACCGCAAGAAGAAGCCCCGGCUAACUACGUG
rnacentral:rRNA from 1 species